rnacentral:rRNA from 1 species
AGAGUUUGAUCCUGGCUCAGGAUGAACGCUGGCGGUAUGCUUAACACAUGCAAGUCGAACGGAAUCCUUAGGGAUUUAGUGGCGGACGGGUGAGUAACGCGUGAGAAUCUGCCUUCAGGUUCGGGACAACCACUGGAAACGGUGGCUAAUACCGAAUGUGCAGCAAUGUGAAAAAUUUAUUGCCUGGAGAUGAGCUCGCGUCUGAUUAGCUAGUAGGUGUGGUAAGAGCGCACCUAGGCGACGAUCAGUAGCUGGUCUGAGAGGAUGAUCAGCCACACUGGGACUGAGACACGGCCCAGACUCCUACGGGAGGCAGCAGUGGGGAAUUUUCCGCAAUGGGCGAAAGCCUGACGGAGCAAUACCGCGUGAGGGAGGAAGGCUCUUGGGUUGUAAACCUCUUUUCUCAGGGAAGAAAAAAAUGACGGUACCUGAGGAAUAAGCAUCGGCUAACUCCGUGCCAGCAGCCGCGGUAAUACGGAGGAUGCAAGCGUUAUCCGGAAUGAUUGGGCGUAAAGCGUCCGCAGGUGGCUGUGUAAGUCUGCUGUUAAAGAGUCUGGCUCAACCAGAUAAAGGCAGUGGAAACUACAUGGCUAGAGUGCGUUCGGGGCAGAGGGAAUUCCUGGUGUAGCGGUGAAAUGCGUAGAGAUCAGGAAGAACACCGGUGGCGAAAGCGCUCUGCUAGGCCGCAACUGACACUGAGGGACGAAAGCUAGGGGAGCGAAUGGGAUUAGAUACCCCAGUAGUCCUAGCCGUAAACGAUGGAUACUAGGCGUGGCUUGUAUCGACCCGAGCCGUGCCGUAGCUAACGCGUUAAGUAUCCCGCCUGGGGAGUACGCAGGCAACUGUGAAACUCAAAGGAAUUGACGGGGGCCCGCACAAGCGGUGGAGUAUGUGGUUUAAUUCGAUGCAACGCGAAGAACCUUACCAGGACUUGACAUGUCGCGAAUUGAAGUGAAAGCUUCAAGUGCCUUCGGGAGCGCGAACACAGGUGGUGCAUGGCUGUCGUCAGCUCGUGUCGUGAGAUGUUGGGUUAAGUCCCACAACGAGCGCAACCCUCGUUUUUAGUUGCCAGCAUUAAGUUGGGCACUCUAGAGAGACUGCCGGUGACAAACCGGAGGAAGGUGGGGAUGACGUCAAGUCAGCAUGCCCCUUACGUUCUGGGCUACACACGUACUACAAUGCUACGGACAAAGGGCAGCAAGCAUGCGAAUGCAAGCUAAUCUCAUAAACCGUGGCUCAGUUCAGAUCGCAGGCUGCAACUCGCCUGCGUGAAGGAGGAAUCGCUAGUAAUUGCAGGUCAGCAUACUGCAGUGAAUUCGUUCCCGGGCCUUGUACACACCGCCCGUCACACCAUGGAAGCUGGUAGUGCCCGAAGUCAUUACCCCAACCGCUUGCGGAGGGGGAUGCCUAAGGCAGGACUGGUGACUGGGGUGAAGUCGUAACAAGGUAGCCGUACCGGAAGGUGUGGCUGGAUCA